rnacentral:rRNA from 1 species
CGGAGAUUCGUCAAAGUUUCCUUUGACUUAGUGGCGGACGGGUGAGUAAUGCGUGAGCAACCUGCCUUUCAGAGGGGGACAACAGUUGGAAACGACUGCUAAUACCGCAUAAUGUAUUUAGGAGGCAUCUCCCGGAUACCAAAGGAGCAAUCCGCUGAAAGAUGGGCUCACGUCUGAUUAGCUAGUUGGUGAGGUAACGGCUCACCAAGGCUGCGAUCAGUAGCCGGACUGAGAGGUUGAACGGCCACAUUGGGACUGAGAUACGGCCCAGACUCCUACGGGAGGCAGCAGUGGGGAAUAUUGGGCAAUGGGCGAAAGCCUGACCCAGCAACGCCGCGUGAAGGAAGAAGGUCUUCGGAUUGUAAACUUCUUUUAUGAGGGACGAAGGACGUGACGGUACCUCAUGAAUAAGCCACGGCUAACUACGUGCCAGCAGCCGCGGUAAUACGUAGGUGGCGAGCGUUAUCCGGAUUUACUGGGUGUAAAGGGCGCGUAGGCGGGGAUGCAAGUCAGAUGUGAAAUCCAUGGGCUCAACCCAUGAACUGCAUUUGAAACUGUAUUUCUUGAGUGCUGGAGAGGUAGACGGAAUUCCUUGUGUAGCGGUGAAAUGCGUAGAUAUAAGGAAGAACACCAGUGGCGAAGGCGGUCUACUGGACAGUAACUGACGCUGAGGCGCGAAAGUGUGGGGAGCAAACAGGAUUAGAUACCCUGGUAGUCCACACCGUAAACGAUG